rnacentral:rRNA from 1 species
UACGUAGGGGGCUAGCGUUGUCCGGAAUCAUUGGGCGUAAAGCGCGUGUAGGCGGCCCGGUAAGUCCGCUGUGAAAGUCGGGGGCUCAACCCUCGAAUGCCGGUGGAUACUGUCGGGCUAGAGUACGGAAGAGGCGAGUGGAAUUCCUGGUGUAGCGGUGAAAUGCGUAGAUAUCAGGAGGAAUACCGAUGGCGAAGGCAGGUCUCUGGGUUAACACUGACGCUCAUGCACGAAAGCGUGGGGAGCAAACAGG